rnacentral:lncRNA from 1 species
GUGGAAGGAUAUUCAAAGGUUAGAAGCAAGGUUUAAUGGGUAGAAAUACGUAGUGGACAAGUAUGUAACAGGAACAAGGCAGGGGAAAAGAGGAACAUUGUUCUCCAAGAGAAAAUGGGAUAGUGAAAGGUUAUUGGAAACAAAAUACUCUAGAUUGUUUUCCUUAAGAACAACAUAGGAUGCAAAGGUGUGUGUCAUGAGCGUGGGUUUGGAGUUGGCAUAAAAGGUUCUUUGAGUGGGAAAAGGAUAUAGUUUGAGAUUCACCCCGAGAGAUCCGAAGGAAAACUAAGGGAUGUUAAUAGGGUUGUAAUGACAAUCUCUUAGGCCUUGUUCACUUAAGUAGUUUUGGGAGAGAGUAAUUGAGCGGAUUUGAGAAGAUUUGAUGAUAAAUUUUUUUGUUGUUUAUUUGAAUAGAUUUGAAGGUAAGUGAGAGUGAAUUUGGAAGUAAAUUUUUUUAAUCUGUCACAAAUUAAAUCCUACAUUAAUUCUCACAAAUUUUACUUCCAAAUCUAUUCUCACUUACCUCCAAAUCUAUUCAAAUAAACAACAACAAAAAUUAACUUCAAAUCCUCUCAAUUACUCUCCCCCAAAUCCACUCAAGUGAACAAGGCCUUAGUUAGGUUGGGUCAAAACUAGAAAGAAAGUCAUGGAGGUGGUUAUAGAUGGUUGAUUUACGGAACAAUGGUGGAAGGUGAGCUAAAUGUCUCACGGUUUUGGUGCUAUUAUGGAGGAUGGAGGGGGUGUUUGUGAUGCUUGAAGAGAGGUUGAGCCAAUUCUUAGAGUAAGGUGGCUAGAGGAGAUCAAUUGGGUUACUCUAGUGUAACGCCCCAAAUUUUGGGACGAGUUUACAAAAACCGAAUAUUUAUAAUCUUUCUUAUAGCGCACAAAUUUCUUUUUCAGAAAUCUUAACUUUUAAACAUGCAUAAAUU